rfam:Mus musculus BAC clone RP24-72L18 from 8, complete sequence.
AGCCCACUAGGAGUCCUAAUUUAUUUCUUAACCUUUGCUAUGUAAGGGUUUUUGGUGUUCUUAAGCGAUUGCUUCUUCUCUGUGCU